CAGCCGCCGCGGUAAUACGAAGGGGGCUAGCGUUGCUCGGAAUCACUGGGCGUAAAGGGUGCGUAGGCGGGUCUUUAAGUCUGGGGUGAAAUCCUGGAGCUCAACUCCAGAACUGCCUUUGAUACUGAAGAUCUUGAGUAUGGGAGAGGUGAGUGGAACUGCGAGUGUAGAGGUGAAAUUCGUAGAUAUUCGCAAGAACACCAGUGGCGAAGGCGGCUCACUGGCCCAUAACUGACGCUGAGGCACGAAAGCGUGGGGAGCAAACAGGAUUAGAUACCCCUGUAGUCCCUGUCUCUUAUAC
rnacentral:rRNA from 1 species